rnacentral:sRNA from 2 species
AACGUGGCCUUGCCGAAUUCCGGGAUUGUUUCCUGGGAGCGGGGGACCCACUCCCUUGGGGCGCAUCGCCAAUAAUGGCGUAGGACACUCUUCGGUCCGAGCCCGUCAGCUAACCUCGCAGGCGUCGAAGGGGAAGACCU